UACGAAGGGGGUUAGCGUUGCUCGGAAUCACUGGGCGUAAAGCGCACGUAGGCGGAUUGUUAAGUCAGGGGUGAAAUCCUGGAGCUCAACUCCAGAACUGCCUUUGAUACUGGCGAUCUCGAGUCCGGGAGAGGUGAGUGGAACUGCGAGUGUAGAGGUGAAAUUCGUAGAUAUUCGCAAGAACACCAGUGGCGAAGGCGGCUCACUGGCCCGGUACUGACGCUGAGGUGCGAAAGCGUGGGGAGCAAACAGG
rnacentral:rRNA from 1 species